rnacentral:lncRNA from 1 species
UGUCGUUUUGGAACAUAAACAAAACAAAGUUGAUAUAAAAAAUUAACAUUUAAUUUUAUAGAGUUAAAAAAUGUUAAUACAUAGGCAGACAACCGAUAGAUAUAUAGUUAUAUAAUACACGAAGCACAUCAUCUGCAAAACUUGAGAAUAACGCAGUUAGUUGAAAAUAUAUUUAAACAGUAAUAAUUAAGGAAAAAAAAUCAUUCCUUGGAAUGUUUAUCUCAUGGAUCAUUCUAAUACUUACAAAGGAUUCUGGGCUAUAAUAGAAUGCAAUUUUCUUAGAAGAAAGCAACCGUAUCUUUCAAAGACGAAUGAAGUUACGUAGGAAGUCUGUGGUAGUUUAAUAGAACUUGGGAUCAGUCAAUCAUUGAUUCCGUUUAAGGUAUAAAAUUGGAGUAAUUUUCUAUGGAUACAAGGAAGAAGGCAAAAUGCUACAUAAUAUCUUCACAAAAUUCCAUAAGAUCCUCCUGGGGAAUUAUUUAUAUUUGCAAAUCAAAUGAUGGACCAUCAAACAGGACUCCAUAAUUAUUGAGGGUUGUCUAAUGAAAUGGUUAAUGGAAUAAGAAACAGUCAAAGGACAAUGAUUGGCUCAGCAUAUUUAUUCAAACAGCAGAAGAUAUAGUGUAAACAUUGUUGAACAAGUGACUAGAGAAAAACAUACUGAUUUGAGAAAAAAAUUGCCGUUGUCAUUCACCAUGUCCAGGCCAACUUUUGUCUCUAACGGACGAGUUACGCCAACACUUCGCUUAUCUAUUGGUGGAAAUGUAAAAUGGCAGCUGGUAUAACACCUUGUAUGAAUUAUUAGUAACUCCAAAGAAGUAUUUACAUAAUUUAAAACUGGGAAGAAGCUCAUUAAAGACCAGUUUAGGCUGCAGUAGUACCAGGACCUUUAAUUGGCUUCCA